AGAAGAAUGAGCGAGAACAAACUGAAAAACAGAGAGGAAAGAACGGAUCUGUAGGAUUAAAAAGUGAGUCACAUACCAGACCUGGGUCUUCUUCUUCAAGCUUUCUUCCUUAAAAUCUCUUUCAAUUACUUUGAGCCAUGAAAAGCUGAAAUCUCAGCUCCAGAAAACGCAGCUACCGUAGCCCCUUUUCACCCCAAACCCGCCAUGAAAACCUAGAUCCUUACCUCCACAACACUGCCAAAGAUAGCUAAGGUUUCUGAAUCGAGGCUACCAUUCGAUAUCGUCGAGGUCACCACGGUGGUGAGAAUAAAGUUGAUUCGCUAGAGGUAUUUUAUUUUUAUAUUUUGUCUUUAUGACUUAUUGAAAUUUGUUUGAAUAAGCAUUAAAGUUUGGAGUAGUAUAUAUUGUUAUUUGGAAGAUUUGUUUCUUUGGCCCUUUCGUACUUCUUUAUUUUUGGAAAAAAUGGCGUGAUGUUUGGUUCCUUUAGCUGAUGUCUUGUUGUUUGGAUUUAUUAUUUGAAUUUCUUGACUCAUGAAUUAAUCUUAUGCUAGCUAUUAUUAUUUUAGUUUGUUAAAUAAAAAUUAAAUUUCUUAAGUAUAUAAACAAUGACGCGAAGAGCAGUGUGAACUGAGUUUGGUUAUUAGUGUCAAAUGGCUAGAUUUCAAAAGUUGUUUGGCAGUAUUAGAAACACAUAAUUUCGGAUCCUUGAUGUAUCUAAGCGUUGGGUGUUGCUGGACUAUUUUCAGGUAACCGUUCUUGUUGCAUAUGCUUCUCCUUUAUGCCAAGCCACUUUCUUGCCUUUUAUAAGUUUUUUUGACAAAAAGUCUUAAUAAUGUCAACCUAACAAGUCCUUUGAAACGAUGUGCUGAUUGUUUGAACUCUUUUGUACUAAUCCAGCGCUGGAGCAGUGUAAGUAAAUCUUAAGAAGUUCUGAGAUGGUACAAUUUACCGUAAUAUAUUGGCACCAUUAAAUUAAAUCAUCUUCCUUAUACAUGUAAUGCGAUACUAAUGUGAAAACACAAUAUGGUUCGAUUUACUGUUAAAGAGAUAGCACAUUAGUAUUUGUGGAAUUCGAUUGUGUUCGAUUGUUAUAGUUGAAUACAAAUAUCUACUUUAAAGAAAUUGAGGCGUACCAUGCCAAAUAAAAUCUCAAAACUCAUGGCCCUCAUUUAGUUAAUUUUAAUCUUUAGAAAUCGAGGCGUGCCAUUAGUGAAUUUUCCAUGGCCCUCGCAAACUUGAAAGUUCGUAGUUGCUUUAGGAACGUAAUUUAAAUUAAUUUCCUUAAACUCGGGUGUGCAUUUCAUGUGACUCAAAUCCAAAUCUCAACAACGUUAAAUAAAAUAUGUCUCGGACUGCGGGUGCAUUUCAUGUGGCGUGGUCCAAAGACGCAUUUUAGAUGACGUUGAAAUCUUUUUAAAAUUAAUUAAAAGCGAUUAAUUGUUUAAAAUAUACCAUAGGCUAAAACAUGUAUUAAAAUCCGAUAAUAGGCCAAUUGUGAUAGUUUCAGCGACCGUGCUAGAACCACGAAAUCCGGGGGUGCCUAACACCUUCCCUCAGGUUAACAGAAUUCCUUACUUAGAAUUUCUGGUUCGCAGACUUCACAAGGAAAGUCGAAUCUUCCUCGAUUUGGGAUUUAAAAAUAAACCGGUGACUUGGGACAUCAGAAAAUAAACCAUCCCAAGUGGCGACUCUGAACCAAGAAAUGAAUAAAUAACCCCAUUUCGAAUAAUGUCACUUAAAGUGGAAAAAUUCCCUUAUAUACUACCUUCCGGGGUGUAGGUAAAAAGGAGGUGUGACACUUGUUAGUAAACUGCAUUUGUAAAAUAAUUCUGGAGAAGCUAAAAUAACAUAUAAACAGAAAUGUAAACAAAAACAGAAUUUAAUCCGAGCCUACUGAAUUCAUGGUGUUUCCUUAAGGAACUUAAUCCCCUCCUGGUACCUAAGGUUGUGGAUUAUUUCUUCCCAGGAUAGAACGAAUUAUACACUGGUGUAGUGGUACUUCAAAAUCCAGUGUUUCAGCGAACACAAAGAUCGGUAGCAAAUCACACUUACAAUUGCUUUCUUUGUAGUUAAAACAAUGCAGAAGAAAGGAGGAGAACUCAAAAUUUCGUAUGAAAAAUCUGAGAGAAUGGACUGCUAUUUAUAGACAAUAUGUUGAUCUCAAAUUGAAGAGGUGCAUCUCUUCAGAAGGGUUGUUUACGUAAAAUGGUCAUAACGUAAAUGGCUAUUUACGCAACAAUAAACCGGGAAUUCAUAACAAGGAGGAAACUUAAUUUUUUGUUACUAAAACAGAAAACGGAUAACAGAAAAAUGCUUAAUAUUUCGUUGGAUUUAAUAUUAAUAUUUCGUUGGAUUUAAUAUUAAUUUUCCUUUUACAAAAAACGGAUAUUUAAUAAUAUUACAUUAAUAUUUACUAUUAACAAAUAAAUUUGAUCCAAAAAAUUAAUUAAUCAAUCAUUUGUCCAAAUCCAAAUCCGAAGCAGAAGCCGAGAGAGCGAGCAACGAUAAUGGCGCGAGACUUGCCUUCUUCUUAACUUUUUAAGAGCUAGAAGAAGAGCAAUUGUCUAUAUAUCCAUCAAAAAUCUUUUCCUCUUCCAAUAUGGGACAAUGUCCCUUUGUUAAGGAGGGAAUCUCAAAUAUUUUAUUUUCCCUUCAUUUUCCAUUGGCCCUCUUUUAAGCUACAUUAAGCUUAAAAAUCCAACCAUCCUCCACAUGAAUGGGGGAUGGCUAUAUCACGGAAAUAUGCAUGAAAAACUAUGUGAUUCGCAAGAAAGGAUUAAUCGCAUCUGGAUAAGUAGGCUUCCCUUUGAACUUUUCGUAGUGAACUUAGGUCGGAUAUACUCGGUCAAUCGAUAUAUUUGAUAUCUUUGAACCGUCGAACUUUGGUGUAUACCUAGACAACCAUAAGUCAUACAACCAACCCUUAGCCGUCUUUGGUUCUCAUUGUUGUGUUCAUUUCAGCCAUGGACACCGCCUGGCUUCAUAAGUGCGUAGAGAACUGGCCUUACAAAAUUCUCCUUGAAGUGGCUAACACUUCACACUUACAUAGGUGAUUCCUAAAUGUGUCAUCCCAUAGAUACACUAUUUGGUAUACCCCAUAUCAAACUUAGAAAUUAUUAAAAAGCCUUAAUGUUUUAUCCUUGGUACUGAACAGUGUCUCAUCACGAGAAUGGACCAAAAUUUUAGUUGACAAUAUUGAACCGUCAUUAAUGACUUUGUUUGAUCUCCUUGAACCUAGAACUUAGUAUCUCCAGUCUUCUAGGUAGAGUUACCGCCACAAUGACUUGUUCUCGGCCAUAGUCCCAUUCCCCUCGAUGAUUUCUCAACUACCUCUCUAGUUAGGCCAUUUGUAAGCGGAUCCGACACAUUAUCACUUGACUUUACGUAGUCAAUCGUGAUAAUUCCUCUAGAGAAUAGUUGCCUAACGAUUUUAUGUCUUCGUCGUAUAUGAAGAGAUUUACUGUUAUACAUAACGCUCCCAGCCCUUCCAAUUGCUGCUUGACUAUCGCAGUGUAUGCAUAUUGGUGCCAAUGGUUUGGGCCAAAAUGGAAUGUCUUCCUUUCGGAGCCAUUCAGCUUCUUCAUCGGCUUUAUCUAAGGCUAUGAAAUCAGUCUCCAUUGUAGAGCGGGCAAUACAAGUUUGUUUGGAUGACUUCUAAGAUACUGCUCCUCCAAUAGUGAAUACAUAUCCACUGUGGACUUAGAAUUAGUUAAACCGGUAAUCCAAGUGUCCUUCAAUCACAGCAUGAUAGUUACUAUAGUGUAAAGCAAAGUCCUGGGUAUGUUCUAAAUAUCCUAAAACUCGUUUCAUUGCCAUCCAAUAAGAUUGACCUAUAUUGCUCGUGUAUCGACUCAAUUUACUUAUAGCACAAGCUAUAUCUGGUUGUGUACAAUUCAUGAUAUACAUUAAGCAUCCCAACACACGAGCAUAAUCCAUUAGUGAGUUAUAGGGAUUCAUCCCUGACGGGUUGGUUAAGUGCAAAUGGAUUUCAGAGAGUUCUUGAUGGUCUCUAUCAUGGUUUGAGAUGUAUAUUUCCUAUUAGUGUGUGGGGUAUGUGGCGUAUCGUAAUUUUCUCCAGAAGGAAAUCAAAUGGAAAGUUCUUAGCUAAUUGAGUAUGUGUUGCUUGCGACUCAGAGUGGAUUUUGAGAUUGGUCGUAUCUUUCAUAUGGUGGCAUUAUGGGUGCGAUGUGUGGUGUAGUAUUGGGAUUUGCAGGUGCAAGGUCAUGAUGCGGUUUUGAAGGGAAGGUCCUGAAUCCUUAGGCAGCAUGGACAGUUUUAAAUGACUAGGUAAAUGACAUUUCUACUUGGUAUGGCUUGAUGAGAGUAUACAUUUCGAAAAGGGGCAAUGUGUUUUGAUUUAUGUAUACUUCAUUGGUAUUGUGUCACUCUCUUGUUUGAUCUACUACUGGUAUUCAAAUUUUGCCUUGUGGCACAAAAGAAUUAUAGAAGUAUUCCUCGUGGGAUGAUCGUGUAUUGGAGUAAUUUUAGACAUUCAGGCGGUGGAGUUGAGAUCAGAUAUGGUGAUCCGUGUGUUCAAGGGAUUUGGAGACUAGGAGUUCUCAAGAGCAAAUUGUUUCAUGGUUGUGGACUGUGAAAACGUAGCCGAGGUUGGUCAGAAGAUAGCAUGUGUUGUGCUUCAGUUAUUGUGGGCUUUUGGAGGGUUAUUUGUGGGUGACCAGAUUUGAUUUUGAGUUCACUGGUAGGCCCAAUAUGGAUGUGUGUUCUACAUCGAGUCGGAUAUGUUGACUCCGAACUGCUAUUGUUGAGAGAGAUGCCAUUCAGCUGUGGUUAAGCGUAUUCGUGUUCCGAGAUUUAUUUGUGAGUUACUCUUCUAUGCUAUGAGGAGUUAUGAUUCGUUGGUUAUAUGCAUAUAUGGUGCGGUUCUGUUUGGGAUUAUAGCGGUAACUCGAGCAAGAUGAGUAUUCGAGUAUUGUGUGAUUGAUUGCGCGUUAGAUAUGUUCUUUCACAUAGUGGCAUUGUGUUAUUUGCUCUCGUGGUUGUGUAAUGCACUUUGAGGUUUUUGAUGUCGAACUUCAAAUGGGUUUGGAUUUUGAUCAGGGUGGCUCGAGGUAUAUAUGCAGACCAACAUUUGGAUGGGGUCGCGCAUUGCAACAAAGUUAUGUUGGGAUAUGAUCCUUCGAGUUAGAUUCGUGUUUUCUGGUUCUACGGUGUGUGAUAGGUUCUUAACAUCGUGUUGAGGUGGUACUAGUGAACUUGCGGUACAACUCUCUUAUUUGAGUCAUUUUCCAUGAUUUGACUACAUUUGGAUUAUUGCUUAUUGGUGCAUGGAUUGCCCGGGUUGUGGCUUUAGAUGGUAUUGAUGUGUCAUGUCACUAGAGUAGCCGUGUUUGAUGAGAUGAGGUCAUUGGACCUAGGAUGAAUACUAACGGAUAUGAUUUCAGCAUGUUGGAAGGAUAAUAUCGAAAUUCGGCUUAGGAAUUUUCUAUAGUCCUUGCCGAAGGAGAGGGAACUCCAUGACUGGUUAAUUUGAGGAAUGGUUAUGAUUUCUACGUGUUUCUUUCAUCAUUGGCAGUAUGCAGAAGUGUUGGGAUGAGGCUUUGCUUGAUAAGAGGUUAUUACUGGUAUUGGGUUAUUUGAGCAGCUGUUGUGAUUAGAAGUUAUUGCUAUAAGUGUUUGAGUUGUGUGUUAUAUCAUGUGAUUUCAUGUUGAGUUGCGGUUAUGGCUUGAUACAGCGUGUUCAGACUUAUUCAGUGUGUAGAUGUGAGAUUCUGAUCCUAUAGAUAAGUUCGGAAGUGAAAAUUGGUUCUAAGGUUAUGGGCUAGGUUGAAUUGUGAAAUUUCAGUUAUGUUGUGCUAUCGGACCUAUAUGGGAUAAGGUGACGUGGGAUCACCCCCGGGUAUGUGCAUGUUAAGGUUAUACAAUGAUUUGAUGGUUUUCGGAACAACUCUGGGCACGUUCGAGGACGAACGUAUGUUUAAGUGGGGGAGGAUAUAACGACCCGACCAGUCAUUUUGAGCAUUUGCACUUCGCUCGCCAGUUCUCGGGCAUGAGAGCCUCGUAUGAUGUAUUAUGGCUUACAUAAAUCGUCGGUUUUGGUUUUCAGGACAAUCGGAAUAGAUUCGGAAGAGCAUGAAGCUUUAAUUUGAAAGGUCUAACCACGUUUUGACUUUUAGUAUUUGACCUCAGAUUUGAAUUUUGAUGAUUCGGUUAGCUCUGUGAUAGAAUUAGGCUUGAAUUGGCGAAAUUAGAAAUUUGGUGAUUUUCGAUCGAUAAUGGAAAUUUUGAUAUUGGGGUCGGAAUGGAAUUCUGGAAGUUGGAGUAGGUUCGUAGUGUCAUUUGUGAUGUGUGUGCAAAAUUACAGGUCAUUCGGAGGUUAUUUAGUAAGUUUUGGCGUCAUUUGUAGAAUUCGGAAGUUUAGAAGUUCUUAGGCUUGAUUCCGAGGGUAAUUUAGUGUUUUGAUGUUGUUUUGAGUGUUCCGAAGGUUUGACUAAGUUCGUAUGUUGUUAUGUGACUUGUUGGUAUUUUGGUUGAGGUCUCGAGGGCCUCGGGAUAAAUUCGGAUGGUUAACGGAGGAUUUGGAAAAGGGAUUUUGCAGCUGAAGCUGCUGCUUAUGAUGUUUCCGCACCUGCGGAGUGGUGACCGCAGGUGCGAUGAUUGCAGACGUGGGAAGCAACCACAGAUGCACAGUUUGUCGCAGGAGCGGGAGAUUGGGCUGCACCUGUGAGCCCAUAGGUGCGAAAACUGGUGAGUUGAGUGGAAACCGCAGAUGCGGCGCCUUGACCGCAGGUGCGAAAAUGCCUGGGCAGAAGGCAUAAAUUAAACGCUUCGCAAAUUUUGGCCAUUCAUCACCAUUUCUACUCAAAUUUUGAAGCUUUUGGAGAGUUUUGAAGAGGGAAUAAAGGGGGUUUUCAUUGAGGUAAGUAACUUGAUCUUAAUACUCGUGAUUAUGGUGAUUUUCAGUUGUUUAAGCAUGUAGUUAGUAGGAGUUAGGGAUGAAAAUGAGGGGUUAGGGCUUGGGAAAUUGGAGAGUUUGAUUUGGUGAUUUGAGGGACCAUUUGAUGUCGGAUUAGGAUGAAUUUGGUAUGGAUAGACUCGUGAGUGAAAGGGCUUUCUAGUUUUGUGAUUUUUGUCGGAUUCCGAGACAUGGGCCCACGUGGCCGGGUUUGAGAGGAUUUCGGGAUUUGUGGCUAAUUUGAUAGUUUUUCUUGUGGGAUUCAUUUCAUUAACGUGUAUUGAUGGUAUUAUUCUGGUUGUGAAUAUAUUCGGAGCGAUUGGAGGCCGAGUCGAGGGUCAAGAUCAUCGCGGAGUAAGGAUUUGACCAGUUUGAGGUAAGUAAUGAUUGUAAAUCUAGUCAUGAGGGUAUGAAACCCUGGAUUUCACAUCGUUUUACUACUUUGAGGUAACACACAUGCUAGGUGAUGGGCGUGUGGGCGUGCACCGUUGGGGAUUGUGACUUGGUCUAUCCCGUAUCAACUAUAAAGUUGCGUAGUUGACUGAAACUAUAUGAUACUUAUGUGUUUUAAGAAGAAUUUCUAUAAAUUGUGCUGAAUGUCAUAUUUGGGCCUUAAGCCGGAGCUGUUGGGACCCUUAGGGGCCUUUUCUUAUUAUCCUCUCACUGUUUUGAUUGAAAAUCUAUACUCAGUCAUGUUAUGUUUAUUGAUUUCAUAACUCAGUCUUUAUUACCCCGUUUUGAUGCAUAUAAAAUGUUAUUUUGGCUGAGCACCAUGUUUUUACUUAUAGCCCGAGUGACUUGAGAGGUUUAUGACUGAGUGAGGCCGAGGGCCUGUUCGUAUGAGGAUAUUAUGGUAUCGAGCUGCUUCGCCACAACAUGUGGUCACUGAUUCAUGAUUUUGUGAGGCCGAGAGCUUGAUUGAUUUAUGCCACAAGGUGGCUUGUUAUAGUGCUUGGGCGGUAAGAGCCCCUCCGGAGUCUGCACACCCCUAGUGAGCGCGGGUACCUUGAGUAAGUGAUAUGAGAUAUGCCCGAGGGGCUGUAUACGAGGUUUUCCCGAGGGGCCGAUUCUGAGUGAUGUUAUGCCCGAGAGGCUAUUUAUGAUUUAUGUUGCCCGAGGGGCUGUAAACGAGCAAUGUUUUCCCGAGGGGCUGUUUAUGAUUUUCAUCACUUUUACUCUCUUUUGCAUUGAGCCUCUGUUGAAACUGUUGAAAAAUAUCUUCAAAUAAUUUUUUCCGAAAACUGGAUUUUGUAAAUGAGAUGAUUUGGCUCACAUACUCAUUUGAAAGCAUGUUGUACUUACUGAGAUUUCAUGAUGUGGACUUUAUGUGUUUUACUGCUCGUCACUACUGCUCAGACUUUAUUUACCUUUAUUACUGACUAAGUUGGUGUACUCACAUUACUCCCUGCACCUUGCGAGCCGAUCCAGGGGUUGCUGGACGUGCUAGCGAGUGUUGAAUUCAUCCGGCGCGGAUCUAUUGGAGUUAGCAAGAUAGUUGCAUGGUGAUCACAACCCUGAUCUUCUACCCCCUAUCUUCCUAUUGAUGUUAUUAGUUAUUUUCCAGACUGUAUUAGUCUUAGUAUUAUCAGACUGUUCUUAGUAGAUGUUCAUGACUAGUGAUACCCCGAUGUCGGGCCUUUCUUUCCGCACUUUUGUUAUUCAGAUGUUCUUCAUGAAGUUUUUAUUAUUAAAUAGCGUGAAUUAUCUUUGAAAAUGAAAUAUCUUGUUGUUUUUGGUAAAAGAUUCGGCUUGCCUAGUUCCACGAUAGGCGCCAUCAUGACAUGGUAGUUUUUGGCCGUGACAGAAGCGCCACACAAGGGUUGUUCAGAUUAUACUCCCUCCAAACAAAAUAAGAGUAUUUAAGGUAAAAAGCGAUUUUAUUAAAUAAUUCUUCAAUUUGCAAAUUGAAACCGAUACCUUUUUGAUAGGGCCGAUGAAUCUCAACCUUCCCAUGAACCCCUAGUGAUAAUUAGAAAUAAUUUAAUAGAAUUAAUAAUAAAAUUUAUUCAAUCAAAUUAUCAUGUAUUUAUCCACAAGUUACCUUUUUUUUCUUAAAUUACUCUUUAUCUAUCUUUAAAAAAUUUAAAUCAUUUAUUAGAUAAAAGGUAUAUUUGAAAAUUAAUAAUUAAGUCUAUUUGAUUUUUAAAAUGACACGGACUAAAUUUAUAUGGUUAAAACAAAAUUAUUGGAUCUGAUGGAGUAAUAUUUACGAGAGAAAUUAUAACAGUUCUAGAUCUCAAAGUAUAUUAAUAAGAACUGAAGCUCUACUACAAUAACUAGUAGCCUAACUAACACUCCAAUUGCAAAUUAACCAUGGAAAUACAGAAAAUAAUAUAGUUAGGGAUAUAUGAGAAGAAGAGACGAGGAGUUCAGAGAGAAUUAGGGAUGAGAAAUACAGACUUUUCCUAAGUAGUUACAUGAUUCGCUUAUCCUACUCCUUGCAUAUUCUACUACUUAUUAUCAACAUAUUCUCCUUUGCUCAACCUGUGAUCCCAAAUAAAAGAAAAAUUAACAUCGAUUGACCACAUACAAUAAAAAUUGGUAAACUCUUAACCUUAGAUUAUGUUUGGCAAAGAUAGUCUAAAAAUAUUUGUAUUGUAUUGUGAUGACCCAAAGGGUCAUCUUUCGUUUCAGAAACCGAUUCCGUGUUUCGAGGCCUUAAAAACCUCAUUUUCAUUCUCCUCGAUUUGCGUGCACAGUCUGAGCGUGUUUCCAGAAAGCCUUUAUGUGAAAUUUAAGAAAAUAUAUUGAAUUUUGCCUUUAAAAUUGAUUAAAGUUGAGUUUGGUCAAUAUUUUUGGCAAACACACCCGGACUCGUGAUUUGACGGUCCCGUAGGGUCUGUAAUAAAAUAUGGGACUUGGGCGUAUUCCCGGAAUCAAAUUCCAAGGUCCCUAUCCUGAGAAAUUAAUUUUUGAAGAAAAUUAUUUGCUGAAAAAUAUAAGAAUUUUUAGAAAUGGAAAAGUGUGUGAUCUCAUUGGUAUGGGCCCGUAUUUUGGUUCUGGAGCCCGGUACAGGUUUGAUAUAGUAUGUAUGUCGUGUCUGUGAAAUUUGGUGAGAAACGGGGCCGAUUUGACGUGAUUCGGACGUCCGGUUGUGCAAAUAGAAAUUUCAACAUUCUUAAGGAAUUUAUGAGUUUUGGUGUUAAAUUCGUUGUUUAAGAUGUUGUUUUGACGAUUUGAUCGCACGAGCAAGUCUAUAUGAUAUUUUUAGACUUUUGUGCAUGUUUGGUUUGGAGCCCCGAGGGCUCGGGUGAGUUUUGGAUUGGUCACGGAGUGAGUUUGGAAAAAGAAAAUCUAUUGUUGCAUAUGGUAUCUAUUGCAGGCCUCUUAUCUCGCAAUUGCGAGAUCAGGUUUCGCAUUUGUGAGCUUCACAGGCUUGGCAAUUUCGAGGGUUUUAUAUCAAUUGCGAUGAUGACUUGGGCCAGCAUAGUUCGCAUUUGAGAACGUAUCUUCGCAUUUGCGAAGUCAUCAGGAAGGGCAACCAUCGCAAUUGCGACCAAAGGUUCGCAACUGCGAUAGUAGAAAACAUGCAGCAGGUUCGCAUUUGUGAUGCAUGUCUCCCAUUUGCGAGUUUCGCAAUUGCAAAGCUCUGGUCGCAAAUGCGACAAUUGCAACUGAUCAAAACACAACUUAGAUGAGAUUUCACUUCAUUCUCUCAAAUUUUCAAACCCUAGGCUCCCAUAGGCGAUUUUCCAAAGAAGAGUUCUUCCCCAACUCAUAGGUAAACGAUUUCUAACUCAUUUCCUUCAAUCUAUUCCAUCUUUUUACAAGAUUUCAUUACAAAAUCUAGGAAUUUUCACGGGGAAAUUGGGUGUUUUGGGUAGAAUUUAGGGAUUUUGAAAUUUAGGAAUUUAGACCUCAAAUUGAGGCCGGAUUCCAAAACCAAUUGUAUAUCCAGGCUCGGGGGUGAAUGGGUAAUCGAGUUUUGGUCCGAACUUCGAGUUUUGACCAAGUGGGCCUGGGGUCGAUUUUUGACUUUUUGGGGAAAAUAUUAGGAAACCUAUAAUUAAGUAUUGGAAUUUAGUUCUUUAGCAUUUAUUGAUGUUAUUAAAUUAAUUAUGACUAGAUACAAGCGGAUUGGAGGUGGAAUCGAGAGGUAAAGCGGCAAUUGAGGAUUGAUUGUGGUCGUGGAAUCUAGGUAAGUGUUAUGGCUAACCUUAGCUUGAGGGAUUAGGUAUUGUUGCCUUAUUUGCUACUUGUUUAGUUGUUAAGUACGAUGUAUAUGUGUGGUGACGAGUAUGUAUAUGGUGUUGUAGGGUCAUGGCAUGCGAGUGAGUCUUAUACUUGUUCCCGUUGUGUUCCUUUAUACGUAUUGUUCUUGCUGAAACUAGUUAUUACUCAUGUUAAACAAGUCUUACUAUGUUUUUUCUUGGUUUUGCAUAUUGGUUGAGUAUUGGCUCAAGUUGAGAUUUCUGUUGUGAAAAUUAAAUGAUGAAAUGAAGUUAUUUGAUUGUGAUACCCUUACCGGGUUGUUAUUAUUUCUGUUGUUGCUUAUGGUGAGGAAGAGCGAUAAAGCACGAAGGGUAAUGCCGUGCACAUUUCUAUUUAUGCAUAUGGUGAGGAAGAGUGAUAAAGCACGAAGGGUGAUACCGUGCACAUUAACAUUAUUCAUAUGGUGAGGAAGAGUGAUAAAGCACGAAGGGUGAUGCCGUGCACAUUUCUAUUAUUCAUAUGGUGAGGAAGAGUGAUAAAGCACGAAAGGUGAUGUCGAGCAUGUUUCUAUUAUUGAUUGCAUGGUGAGGAUUGGGAGUAAAAGCAGGAAGGGUGAUGUCGUACAUUUUCUGUUUGCUAUGUUUAUUUGUUGCUAUCGGUUCAAGUGUUUUAGCUGUUUAGAUUCCUUUACUGCUGUGAUUCUUUGUAUUGGAACCCCCAUAGCAUGUUGCCCCUUCUCGUUCAUUUCUGCUCAGUUUUUAAUACUUGUUAUUCUGUUAGUAUAUUGUUUAACUGCACAAGUUUAUAUUGUUUGUCGUGUCCUAGCCUCGUCACUACUUCGCUGAGGUUAGGCUCGACACUUAAUAGUACAUGGGUUCGGUUGUACUGAUACUGCACUCUGCCUUUUUAUACAGAUCCUGCUACUAGACCAUACUGAUCAGAGUACGAGGUUGCUGCCUUCAGUCCACAGGAGACCCAAGGUAGAUCUGUCGGUGUUCGCGGACCCUGGAGUCCCCUUCCCUC
rnacentral:lncRNA from 1 species